CAUUAGAGAGGCUUGAUGAGGAGAGGUGAUGAGGGGUGACAGGAUGGGUGUAGUUAGUUUGAGAGGCUUGAUGAAGAGAGGUGAUGAGGGGUGACCGGAUGGGUGUAGUUAGUUAGAGAGGCUUGAUGAGGAGAGGUGAUGAGGGGUGACCGGAUGGGUGUUGUUAGUUAGAGAGGCUUGAUGAGGAUGGGUAUUGAUCGGUGAUAGGAUGGGUGUAGUUAGUUAGAGAGGCUUGAUGAGGAGGGGUGAUGAGGGGUGACCGGAUGGGUGUUGUUAGUUAGAGAGGCUUGAUGAGGAGGGGUGAUGAGGGGUGACCGGAUGGGUGUAGUUAGUUUGAGAGGCUUGAUGAGGGGUGACAGGAUGGGUGUAGUUAGUUAGAGAGACUUGAUGAGGAGGGGUGAUGAGGGGUGACAGGAUGGGUGUAGUUAGAGAGUAUUGAUGAGGAGAGGUGAUAAGGGGUGACAGGAUGGGUGUGGGUAGAUAGAGAGGCUUGAUGAGGAGAGGUGUUGAGGGAUGACAGGAUGGGUGUAGUUAGUUAGAGAGUAAUGAUGAGGAGAGGUGAUGAGGGGUGACAGGAUGGGUGUAGUUAGGUAGAGAGGCUUGAUGAGGAGAGGUGAUGAAGGGUGACAGGAUGGGUGUAGUUAGUGAGAGAGUAAAGAUGAGGAGAGGUGAUAAGGGGUGACAGGAUGGGUGUAGUUAGUUGGAGAGGCUUGAUGAGGAUGGGUAUUGAUCGGUGAUAGGAUUGGUGUAGUUAGUUAGAGAGGGUUGAUGAGGAGGAGUGAUGAGGGGUGACCGGAUGGGUGUUGUUAGUUAGAGAGGCUUGAUAAGGAGGGGUGAUGAGGGGUGACAGGAUGGGUGUAGUUAGUGAGAGAGUAAAGAUGAGUAGAGGUGAUAAGGGGUGACAGGAUGGGUGUAGUUAGUUGGAGAGGCUUGAUGAGGAUGGGUAUUGAUCGGUGAUAGGAUUGGUGUAGUUAGUUAGAGAGGGUUGAUGAGGAGGGGUGAUGAGGGGUGACCGGAUGGGUGUUGUUAGUUAGAGAGGCUUGAUGAGGAGGGGUGAUGAGGGGUGACCGGAUGGGUGUAGUUAGUUAGAGAGGCUUGAUGAGGAGAGGUGAUGAGGGGUGACAGGAUGGAUGUAGUUAGUUAGAGAGGAUUGAUGAGGAGAGGUGAUGAGGGGUGACAGGAUGGGUGUAGUUCGUUAGAGAGGCUUGAUGUGGAGAGGUGAUGAGGGGUGACAGGAUGGGUGUAGUUAGUUCGAGAGGUGAUGAGGGGUGACAGGAUGGGUGUAGUUAGUUAGAGAGACUUGAUGAGGAGGGGUGAUGAGGGGUGACAGGAUGGGUGUAGUUUGAGUGUAUUGAUGAGGAGAGGUGAUAAGGGGUGACAGGAUGGGUGUAGGUAGAUAGAGAGGCUUGAUGAGGAGAGGUGAUGAGGGGUGACAGGAUGGGUGUAGUUAGAGAGGAUUGACAAGGAGGGGUGAUGGGGGUGACAGGAUGGGUGUAGUUAGUUAGAGAGGCUUGAUGAGGAGGGGUGACAGGAUGGGUGUAGUUAGUUAGAGGCUUGAUGAGGAGGGGUGAUGAGGGGUGACAGAUGGGUGUAGUUAGUUAGAGAGGCUUGAUGAGGAGAGGUGAUGAGGGGUGACAGGAUGGGUGUAGUUAGUUAGAGAGGUGAUGAGUGGUGACAGGAUGGGUGUAGUUCGUUAGAGAGGCUUGAUGAGGAGAGGUGAUGAGGGGUGACAGAAUGGGUGUAGUUAGUUAGAGAGACUUGAUGAGGAGGGGUAUUGAGGGGUGACAGGGUGGGUGUAGUUAGUUAGAUAGGCUUGAUGAGGAGAGGUGAUGAGGGGUGACAGGAUGGGUGUAGUUAGUUAGAGAGGUGAUGAGGGAUGACAGGAUGGGUGUAGUUCGUUAGAGAGACUUGAUGAGGAGAGGUGAUGAGGGGUGACAGGAUGGGUGUAGUUAGUUAGAGAGACUUGAUGAGGAGGGGUGAUGAGGGGUGACAGGAUGGGUGUAGUUAGAGAGGAUUGACAAGGAGGGGUGAUGGGGGUGACAGGAUGGGUGUAGUUAGUUAGAGAGGCUUGAUGAGGAGAGGUGAUGAGGGGUGACAGGAUGGGUGUAGUUAGUUAGAGGCUUGAUGAGGAGGGUGAUGAGGGGUGACAGGAUUGGUGUAGUUAGUUAGAGAGGCUUGAUGAGGAGAGGUGAUGAGGUGUGACAGGAUGGGUGCAGUUAGUUAGAGAGGCUUGAUGAGGAGGGGUGAUGAGGGGUGACCGGAUGGGUGUUGUUAGUUAGAGAGGCUUGAUGAGGAGGGGUGAUGAGGGGUGACCGGAUGGGUGUAGUUAGUUAGAGAGGCUUGAUGAGGAGAAGUGAUGAGGGGUGACAGGAUGGGUGUAGUUAGUUAGAGAGGUGAUGAGGGGUGACAGGAUGGGUGUAGUUCCUUAGAGAGGCUUGAUGAGGAGAGGUGAUGAGGGGUGACAGGAUGGGUGUAGUUAGUUACAGAGACUUGAUGAGGAGGGGGUAUUGAGGGGUGACAGGGUGGGUGUAGUUAGUUAGAUAGGCUUGAUGAGGAGAGGUGAUGAGGGGUGACAGGAUGGGUGUAGUUAGUUGGAGAGGCUUGAUGAGGAUGGGUAUUGAUCGGUGAUAGGAUGGGUGUAGUUAGUUAGAGAGGCUUGAUGAGGAGGGGUGAUGAGGGGUCACCGGAUGGGUGUAGUUAGUUAGAGAGGCUUGAUGAGGAGAGGUGAUGAGGGGUGACAGGAUGGAUGUAGUUAGUUAGAGAGGCUUGAUGAGGAGAGGUGAUGAGGGGUGACAGGAUGGAUGUAGUUAGUUAGAGAGGCUUGAUGAGGAGAGGUGAUGAGGGGUGACAGGAUGGGUGUAGUUAAUUAGAGAGGUGAUGAGGGGUGACAGGAUGGGUGUAGUUAGUUAGAGAAACUUGAUGAGGAGGGGUGAUGAGGGGUGACAGGAUGGGUGUAGUUAGAGAGUAUUGAUGAGGAGAGGUGAUAAGGUGUGACAGGAUGGGUGUAGGUAGAUAGAGAGGCUUGAUGAGGAGAGGUGAUGAGGGGUGACAGGAUGGGUGUAGUUAGAGAGGAUUGACAAGGAGGGGUGAUGGGGGUGACAGGAUGGGUGUAGUUAGUUAGAGAGGCUUGAUGA